rnacentral:rRNA from 2 species
ACGGAAGGCAGCAGUGGGGAAUAUUGCACAAUGGGGGAAACCCUGAUGCAGCAACGCCGCGUGAGUGAAGAAGUAUUUCGGUAUGUAAAGCUCUAUCAGCAGGGAAGAUAAUGACGGUACCUGACUAAGAAGCUCCGGCUAAAUACGUGCCAGCAGCCGCGGUAAUACGUAUGGAGCAAGCGUUAUCCGGAUUUACUGGGUGUAAAGGGUGUGUAGGCGGCGAAGUAAGUCAGAAGUGAAAGACCGGGGCUCAACUCCGGGGCUGCUUUUGAAACUGCAUUGCUGGAGUGCAGGAGAGGCAGGCGGAAUUCCUAGUGUAGCGGUGAAAUGCGUAGAUAUUAGGAAGAACACCGGUGGCGAAGGCGGCCUGCUGGACUGGUACUGACGCUGAGGCACGAAAGCGUGGGGAGCAAACAGGAUUAGAUACCCUGGUA